rnacentral:rRNA from 1 species
AUGAGUUGCUUGAGCUGGAAUUGUCGAGGGCUUGGGAAACCAUCGACAGUUCGAGAGCUUCGCAGUGUGGUGAAGCAGGAAGGGCCCGAUCUCCUGUCUGUGAUGGAGACAAAAAUCCCAGCGAAAAGAGUAGAAAGUUUGCGGAAUCUUCUUGGUUUUGCAGGAUGCUUCGCAGUAAACAAUACCGGCCUUAGUGGCGGUAUUGGUUUGUUUUGGACGGAUGAGUUGGAUUUGCAGUUAAAACUGCAGUUCUUGUCAUAUCGACGUUUUGGUAAAGAAGAAGAACCGAGCCUCGAAGGAAUGGAGGCUUACGAGUUUCUAUGGAGCUCCAAAGGUGGAAGAUCGACCACAUAG